CACGUUCGGAAUUCCCCAAAAGCUAGAUAUCGCGCUUUCCCUCCCAAAAUGCCCGCCCUUCGUCUUUCCUAGGGUUAGCAAAAAUCUCUCUCUCAAAAUUUCCCACACUUUCUCUUCGUUCAAACGCCGGAAUUGGGCUUCUCUAAUGGCGAUCAAUCUGACGGAGGGUGCGAUAAUGAUGAUGUGCCGGGGAGAGCUUAAGGCGGAGGAGGUGAAGCCGGUGGUACAGGUGAUCGACGUGAAGCAGGUGAGCACUCAGGCGCAGCAGCACAGCAACACGGAGAGGUUUAGGGUUUUGCUUUCCGACGGCUCGCACCAUCAGCAGGGGAUGCUCGCAACGCAGAUGAACGCUCUUGUCAAGGACGGCAGGUUGCAGAAGGGCUCAGUCGUCCAGUUAACGCAGUUCGUCUGCAAUGUCGUCCAGAACCGCAUGAUUAUUAUCAUUGUCGAUUUGGAUUUGAUACUUGAAAGAAGUGAUCUUAUUGGAGAACCUGUAUCAGCACCAAGGACUGUGGCCGUACAUCCCUCCACUGGUCAACCAGGGACAGGAACUGGGAAUCCCCAAUCUUUUCCCGGAAGUUCACAUGCCGAUGGCGUGGUUAAUAAACCAAACAUGUCCGGUGUAUCUAUGGACCAUCCUAGAAUAAUGCAAUCACAUGGCAAUGCUUAUUCUAAUAAUUCCGGCGCAGGAGGAUAUGCUGCAUCAAAUAUGCCUUACCCUAAAGCAGAGCCUAGUGCUGGGUUUCCUGGAUCAGUGUCUCCGAGUGGGUCAUAUAGUGGUCAGAACAUGAGUUUCCGCAGUCCUAGGCCAGAAGCUUUGCGGCCGCCUCUAAAUGCCUCUUACCGUCAACCUCAACCUGCAUAUCAACAACCACCUCCAAUGUAUACUAACAGAGGACCAGUAGCUAGAAAUGAGGCUCCCCCUAGGAUAAUUCCCAUUGCUGCACUGAAUCCAUACCAAGGCAGGUGGACAAUCAAGGUUAGAGUUACAGCAAAAGGAGAACUUAAGCACUACAAUAAUCCCCGUGGUGAUGGUAAAGUAUUCUCUUUUGAUCUUCUUGAUGCUGAUGGUGGAGAAAUUCGGGCAACUUGUUUUAAUGCUGUGGCUGAUCAAUUCUACAACCAGAUUGAAGCUGGUAAGAUUUAUCUGAUUUCCAAGGGAAGUUUAAGACCUGCUCAAAAAGCUUACAACCACCUCCCAAAUGAUCAGGAAAUUUUCUUAGAGAGCACGUCAACAAUACAGCCUUGCUUUGAUGAUGACAGCUCAAUUCCACAGCAGCAAUUUCACUUCCGACCCAUUAGUGAUAUUGAAGGCAUGGAGAAGAACAGUGUUGUGGAUAUAAUUGGCAUUGUGUCUUUUAUUAGCCCACCUGCUUCAAUAAUGAGAAAAGAUGGUACUGAGACUCAGAGGAGAACCCUACACCUGAAGGACAUGUCUGGCCGAAGUGUAGAAUUAACUAUUUGGGGAAACCUUUACAAUGCAGAAGGACAGAGACUUCAAAAUAUGUGUGAUUCGGGAGUUUUCCCUGUUCUAGCGGUGAAAUCUGGUAGAGUCAAUGAAUUCAACGGGAAGGCAGUGGGGACUAUCUCUACAUCUCAAUUACUUAUAGAGCCAAAUUUUCCUGAGACUCACAGGCUGAAAGAAUGGUUUGACAAGGAAGGAAGGAACAUCCCAUCUGUGUCUAUUUCCAGGGAAACAAGUGUGGGUAGGACAGAUAUUCGAAAAACUAUAUCUCAAAUUAAAGAUGAGAGGCUGGGGACGUCAGAGAAGCCAGAUUGGAUCACUGUCAGUGCAACCAUUUCAUUCAUAAAGGUUGACAAUUUCUGCUACACCGCAUGCCCUAUUAUGAUUGGUGAUCGGCAGUGCAGCAAGAAGGUUACAAAUAAUGGGGAUGGAAAAUGGCGGUGUGAGAGGUGUGAUCAGUCCAUUGAGGAAUGUGACUACAGGUAUAUACUUCAGCUCCAGAUACAGGACCACACUGGCUUAACAUGGGUAACUGUGUUUCAGGAAUCUGGUGAGGAGAUCAUAGGUGUACCUGCAAAAACUUUGUAUUUUUUGAAGUAUGAAGAGCAAGAUGAUGAUAAAUUUGGAGAAAUCAUUCGUAAGGUUCUAUUUACUAAAUAUAUAUUCAAGUUGAAAAUAAAGGAGGAGACAUUUAGUGAUGAACAGCGUGUAAAGUCAACAGUGGUCAAAGCAGAUAAGGUAAAUUUUGCAUCUGAAUCCAGAUUUCUUUUGGAUUUGGUGGAAAAGAUCAAAGCAGGGGAUUACAGUUCUUUUGCAUCAAAUGUGCCUUCUUACCCUAAAGCAGAGCCUAGUAACACUGGAAUGAAUAAUACUAUAGCUGGGAAUAAUUACAUUGGGAAUAUUGGAAAUAGGCAACCAACACCACCGAUGGUGAACUACACUGGGAACAGUAACAGUGCUGGCAAUGUAUUUAGUGCAUCAUCACAUCACGUUGGUCAGUAUGGAAACCAGUAUAAUAGUUCUAUGGCUGCUGCAACUGGCACUCCUGGUUCAUAUCUACUCUGCAACAGUUGUGGGGGUACUGGUCAUAGCUCCUCAAAUUGCCCGAGUAUCAUGAAUGGUCCAGGACAGUCCUUGGGACAGGGCUAUGCCAACAGAGCUUCUUCCGGGCCGGGUGUUGGCGGAGCGUCUGGUGAAUGCUUCAAAUGCCAUCAAACUGGGCAUUGGGCAAGAGAAUGUCCAGGGUCGAGCUCUGUUCCUCCGGCUUAUGGAAGCAGUGGGAGAUAUGGGAGUGUUCCAAAGCAAGAACUUGGUGGCUUUUGAAAUCACCUGGAAAAUUGAGAUAGUAGAUGGUUUGUAAAGCAUGGUGCAGGUUUUCCUCAUGUUGAAUAACAGACUUGGCAUUUUGACGCUCUCUUGGGGUUUGGAUUGCUGAGUUUUUACUGUACAGCGGAGAGCUGAGACGAUGGUUAGUGUCUUGGUGUCCAUUGGAGGUCACAUUGUAAGCAUGGUUAUGGGUUCCAGCUUUAGAGUUGUAUCUGUCGGUAGUGAAACCUAGAGAGCAAGGUUGCCAUGAGUAGGACUUCGGCCAUUCUGGGAUUUGGUUAAGACCUCCAAACUCAAACUCGAAUCGAAUAAGAAGAAAAUUCGACCACAAACCUGGAACUUUCAGCCAAAUCUGUGAUGUUUGAUUCUGGACUUUUGAAAAUAGUAGCAGUCAUGACUAUUAUUACCAAUGCGGUUGAGAAUAUGGCUUAAUUAUUUGGAGUUGAUUGUAUUAUAGUUCUGGCUGUCCAAAUUUCAUUGAAUUGUGUGCAUUUUGGACAUUCAGACUUGGGUCGGUACUUCGAAAUUGUUUGAAA